rnacentral:rRNA from 1 species
GAUGAACGCUGGCGGCGUGCCUAAUACAUGCAAGUCGAGCGAACAGAUGAGGAGCUUGCUCCUCUGACGUUAGCGGCGGACGGGUGAGUAACACGUGGAUAACCUACCUAUAAGACUGGGAUAACUUCGGGAAACCGGAGCUAAUACCGGAUAAUAUAUUGAACCGCAUGGUUCAAUAGUGAAAGACGGUUUUGCUGUCACUUAUAGAUGGAUCCGCGCCGCAUUAGCUAGUUGGUAAGGUAACGGCUUACCAAGGCAACGCUGCGUAGCCGACCUGAGAGGGUGAUCGGCCACACUGGAACUGAGACACGGUCCAGACUCCGACGGGAGGCAGCAGUAGGGAAGCUUCCGCGAUGGGCGAAAGCCUGACGGAGCAACGCCGCGUGAGUGAUGAAGGUCUUCGGAUCGUAAAACUCUGUUAGUAGGGAAGAACAAAUGUGUAAGUAACUAUGCACGUCUGGACGGUACCUAAGCAGAAAGCCACGGCUAACUACGU